rnacentral:rRNA from 1 species
AAUCAACGCUGGCGGCGUGCCUCAGACAUGCAAGUCGAACGAUUAAACUUUCCUUCGGGAAAGAUAUAAAGUGGCGCACGGGUGAGUAACACGUAGGUAAUGUACCUUUGGGUGGGGAAUAACCAUCGGAAACGAUGGCUAAUACCGCAUAAUGCAGCGGCAUCGCAAGAUGACAGUUGUUAAAGAUUUAUCGCCUAAAGAGCAGCCUGCGGCAGAUUAGGUAGNGGUAAGGUAAUGGCUUACCAAGCCUGCGAUCUGUAACCGACCUGAGAGGGUGGUCGGUCACACUGACACUGAAUAACGGGUCAGACUCCUACGGGAGGCAGCAGUCGGGAAUUUGGGCAAUGGCGAAAGCCUGACCCAGCAACGCCGCGUGAAGGACGAAGUCUUUCGGGAUGUAAACUUCGUAAGAAUAGGAANAAUAAAUGACGGUACUAUUUGUAAGGUCCGGCUAACUACGUGCCAGCCGCCG